rnacentral:rRNA from 1 species
UACAGAGGGGGCAAGCGUUGUUCGGAAUUACUGGGCGUAAAGGGCGCGUAGGCGGCCUGUUAAGUCGAACGUGAAAUCCCCGGGCUCAACCCGGGAACUGCGUCCGAUACUGGCAGGCUUGAAUCCGGGAGAGGGAUGCGGAAUUCCAGGUGUAGCGGUGAAAUGCGUAGAUAUCGGGAGGAACAUCAGUGGCGAAGGCGGCUACCUGGCCCAAUACUGACACUCAGGUGCGACAGCGUGGGGAGCAAACAGG